GGCGCUAUCGUCUAGUGGCUAGGACACCGCCCUCUCACGGCGGGAACAGGGGUUCAAUUCCCCUUAGCGCUA
rnacentral:tRNA from 1 species